GAUACAAACAUGUGGAAUAACUUCAAAUACAUGGAUCUGCUAAUCCAGAUUCUCAUCCAUCUCAAUAAUGAUAAUAAGGUUGCUACAUAUGAAAAGUAUUAUAAUAGCUAAGAAUGGAAAAGAAAGAUCCAUGCAUAUCUAGAAGAGGAAUACGAGGCUUAGAUCUGAUAAUUAAUUCAUAGCUAAAUCAAAACGACUACAAUCGAUUGCCUAUAGAAGAAGACCAUCCAAGAUUGUUAUCGCUAGAAAUAGUUGUCAUCAAACAUAUAUCUAAAAAUCAUCAUAGCCUCCAUAAUACAUGUCCAAAAAUAUGAACAAUGCAAUCCAAAAAAGAAUGCAUAACCAUGAACAAUCGACCCCUUAAACAUGAACAAUGUUUAACUGACCUGGCCCAAUCUAUUUAACCGACUCGACCCAACCUGUUUAACUUAUUUUUAAAUAAGACAAACAUCAUAAUUCACAAUCAAUUAGCAUGUUUAAUUCAAGAUAAAAUAUACCAUUUCAAAUUGGAAGUCUAGAAAUAUAUUAUCCUUAAAAGAGAACAAAUGCUGCCACUGUUUAACAUAUGAUACUUUAAAUAACAUAAAGCAUGAGGAGAAAAUCUGCUCAAUAAAAAAAAAAAAUUUGCUAGACAAGUAAUCAUAGUAUUUUUAAGUUUAAUCUCAUAUCAUGCAUGAAAGUAUGAAAUUUACAAUAUCCUAUUGUAGAACAUAAAAUACAUAUAUCAUAAUAUUAAUUUAACAUGUUGCUAUAAAUAGCAUCAAAAUAUAUUCUCAAAUUACAUCCCAGUGAUGAUAAAGAAGAUAGUAACACUGCAACAGUAACACAUACAAAAGAUUCAAAUAGGAUACAACAUUAACUCUAAGCCAGAUCCCAUCACCAAAAAUAUGUUCGAAUUAAACAGAUAGUAGCGGCCUAAGAGUCUAGCUUUUAUGAGUUCCAGCAAUUAAUCGGAGAGAC
rnacentral:lncRNA from 1 species